GGCCCGGUAGCUCAGUCGGUUAGAGCAGGGGACUCAUAAUCCCUUGGUCGGGGGUUCGAGUCCCUCCCGGGCUAC
rnacentral:tRNA from 2 species